GAUGAAGAACGUAGCGAAAUGCGAUAAGUAAUGUGAAUUGCAGAAUUCAGUGAAUCAUCGAAUCUUUGAACGCACAUUGCGCCCCCUGGUAUUCCGGGGGCAUGCCUGUUCGAGCGUCAUUUCACCACUCAAGCCUCGCUUGGUAUUGGGCAACGCGGUCCGCCGCGUGCCUCAAAUCGACCGGCUGGGUCUUCUGUCCCCUAAGCGUUGUGGAAACUAUUCGCUAAAGGGUGUUCGGGAGGCUACGCCGUAAAACAACCCCAUUUCUAAGGUUGACCUCGGAUCAGGUAGGGAUACCCGCUGAACUUAAGCAUAUCAAUAAGCGGAGGA
rnacentral:misc_RNA from 1 species